GCAUCGGUGGUUUAGUGGUAAAAUUAGCCGUUGCCAUUCAUCUGUUCCAUUCAAAGAGCAGUUUGAGCAGUUUCGGCUAGCCCCGGGUUCGAUUCCCGGCCGAUGCA